rnacentral:rRNA from 1 species
GAUGAACGCUGGCGGCGUGCUUAACACAUGCAAGUCGAACGGUGAAGGAGAGCUUGCUCUUUGGAUCAGUGGCGAACGGGUGAGUAACACGUGAGCAAUCUGCCCCUGACUCUGGGAUAACAGUUGGAAACAGCUGCUAAUACCGGAUAUGAGACGUGACCGCAUGGUCGACGUUUGGAAAGAAUUUCGGUCAGGGAUGAGCUCGCGGCCUAUCAGCUUGUUGGUGAGGUAAUGGCUCACCAAGGCGUCGACGGGUAGCCGGCCUGAGAGGGUGACCGGCCACACUGGGACUGAGACACGGCCCAGACUCCUACGGGAGGCAGCAGUGGGGAAUAUUGCACAAUGGGCGAAAGCCUGAUGCAGCAACGCCGCGUGAGGGACGACGGCCUUCGGGUUGUAAACCUCUUUUAGCAGGGAAGAAGCGAAAGUGACGGUACCUGCAGAAAAAGCGCCGGCUAACUACGUGCCAGCAGCCGCGGUAAUACGUAGGGCGCAAGCGUUAUCCGGAAUUAUUGGGCGUAAAGAGCUCGUAGGCGGUUUGUCGCGUCUGCUGUGAAAACUGGAGGCUCAACCUCCAGCCUGCAGUGGGUACGGGCAGACUGGAGUGCGGUAGGGGAGAUUGGAAUUCCUGGUGUAGCGGUGGAAUGCGCAGAUAUCAGGAGGAACACCGAUGGCGAAGGCAGAUCUCUGGGCCGUAACUGACGCUGAGGAGCGAAAGGGUGGGGAGCAAACAGGCUUAGAUACCCUGGUAGUCCACCCCGUAAACGUUGGGAACUAGUUGUGGGGUCCAUUCCACGGAUUCCGUGACGCAGCUAACGCAUUAAGUUCCCCGCCUGGGGAGUACGGCCGCAAGGCUAAAACUCAAAGGAAUUGACGGGGACCCGCACAAGCGGCGGAGCAUGCGGAUUAAUUCGAUGCAACGCGAAGAACCUUACCAAGGCUUGACAUAUACGAGAACGGGCUAGAAAUAGUCAACUCUUUGGACACUCGUAAACAGGUGGUGCAUGGUUGUCGUCAGCUCGUGUCGUGAGAUGUUGGGUUAAGUCCCGCAACGAGCGCAACCCUCGUUCUAUGUUGCCAGCACGUAAUGGUGGGAACUCAUGGGAUACUGCCGGGGUCAACUCGGAGGAAGGUGGGGAUGACGUCAAAUCAUCAUGCCCCUUAUGUCUUGGGCUUCACGCAUGCUACAAUGGCCGGUACAAAGGGCUGCAAUACCGUAAGGUGGAGCGAAUCCCAAAAAGCCGGUCCCAGUUCGGAUUGAGGUCUGCAACUCGACCUCAUGAAGUCGGAGUCGCUAGUAAUCGCAGAUCAGCAACGCUGCGGUGAAUACGUUCCCGGGUCU